GAUCUACCUGAGAGCCAAGGACCAACCUUACUGUAUACUGAUGGGAUUCGGUUUGAUGGAAAUAUAAUCUCAAGAAUAAUUAAUAAAACCAGUGCUUCUUACGGACCAUCAGGAUGAAGUACCAAGUUCAAGGACAGUUCUGCAGGAACUGCUCAAAGACAGCCAUGUGGAACAAGAAGAAAGCCAAGCAGAAGUCAUUCAUUCCCAGCACCCUCAGCACCUUUCUCCAGGACAGGGUCACUCAGCUUUGGUAGAAGAAGGGAUGACCUGAGAUAGCUGCCACAUAUUCCCUCAGAAAAGAAGCAGCCAGCAAUAUUGGGGAAAGAAUAUAGGUGUCAGGGGGCAGAAAGCAGAGUGUAAAGUGAAUAAAUAAAAAGAUAUCAAUAAAAAAUAUUUAAUUAUU